rnacentral:rRNA from 1 species
UACGAAGGGGGCUAGCGUUGCUCGGAAUUACUGGGCGUAAAGGGCGCGUAGGCGGGUCGUUAAGUUAGAGGUGAAAGCCCAGGGCUCAACCCUGGAAUUGCCUUUGAUACUGGCGGCCUUGAGUAUGGCAGAGGUGUGUGGAACUCCGAGUGUAGAGGUGAAAUUCGUAGAUAUUCGGAAGAACACCGGUGGCGAAGGCAGCGACCUGGUCCUUGACUGACGCUGAGGCGCGAAAGCGUGGGGAGCAAACAGG